CUGGGCCAGGGAUUGAGCCCAUGCAACAGCAGUGACCUGGGCAGCUGCAGUGACAAUGCUGGAUAUUUAAGCCAUUCUGCCACAAAGGAAUCCCUAAUUUUGUGGUUUUAAUCAACUGUGUAGUAAGAAUUGUAAUGACAACUUAUUUCACAUGUGGUUUUUAAAAUUUAGAGUUUAGAGUCAUAAUAUAAAAGUCAAGGGAGUAUGACUUUCAAACAUAAGAUGUAUUUAAUCAUGAUAAAAUCUGUGACAGCUAUGGAAUAAUAUAUAUUCAGGAGGAAGAGUAAAGAUAUACAUAUCCUAUAAAAAAUAGCUUGCUCAUAUAUAUUUAAACGGAAAAUGGCUAGCUGCAAAUCAACAUGGUGUCUGGAAUUUACUGGAUAUGUGUAAAAGAGCAGUAAAACCUUAUCAAUAAGGACCAAUGAAUGAAGGUUGAAGAUGGGAGUGACUCCUUUCUGUAAUAAAGCUAACAAAGCAAGAGCAGAAUUUUUACUUCCUAUACUGGUAACUUUAAGCUCUGCUGAUUUGCAGGUCUUAGUCUCCAAGGGAUGACUAAGUGGAUGCAACAAUGACUUCACUGAACUGGAAGAUGAGACUGCCACCUGACUCUCUUUGGUUCCUAUUGAUACUGAAUUGACAGAUUGAGGGGGAAAGUUUAACCUCCCUGGUAGAGUGGUUGAUCCAGAGUAUCAAUGUCUCUUAGUGCAUCCAUGUACAAUAGUAAAAAUGAAUAAAAAGCUAAGGAUUCCAAUUAGCAGAAAGGUUGGUUAAAAGGGCACAUGGAACAGGUAGGGGGAGAAACGGAGGAGUCAUAGAUAUCAACUAUGGUCUCAAGGCUGUUACAGAAACAAGGGAAGUAGUAGCUCUGUAUAUAAUUUUCUUACUUGUUAUAUAAAUAUUUUCUUUAUUUUCCCUAUCAUUUGAUUUUAGAUAUAUUGAUAGUGGUUAAUUUUGCAAGUUAAACAUCACAUUAAAUAAUAUAUAGGUAGGAUUAUUAGCGAAUUAGAAGAGGAAUUAACAUCUUCCACAAUUGGACAUGGGGAUUCUAGGUCUUCCUUUCAUGGGAGAAGACGGAGAGAAAGAGAGAUUAUCUUUGUCUCCAUGAGGUAAAGUUGCUAGAAAAAAGCAUGAUGAUCAUGUUAUUUUUGUUACAUUAAGUUCAAAUAUGGGAAUAGAGAUGAAAAUGGAUGCUAAGGAGGCAAAGGGGUAGUCUGUGCUAGACAUUUUUUUUUUUUAGUGCUAGACAUUUUUGUUUUCAGCUCCAUUUUCCAUGUUUUCCCCUGUAUUGAAAAAUGUUGGAUAUUGACAAACUAAUUCCCAGAUUUCCUUGCGAGUUAGCUUCCUUUUAGGUUGUGUUUGUGAAAGGCACUGGUGAGAAUUGAGGGCAGGAGAAAGAGAGACUGCACAUUUUCUUUUUUUAAUUAAAAAUUACUUUAUUGCUGAAAAAUGGUCCCCAACAAUCUGAGGCUUCAGCGCUUUGAAAUCUUUUUGCAAUAGUAACAUCAAAGACCACUGAUCACCAUAACAAAUAUCAGCAUAAUGAAAAGCUUGAAAUAUUGUGAGAAUUAUCAAAUGUGACAGAGACAAAGUUAGCAAGUUCUGUUGGAAAAAUGGCACCAAUAGACUUGCUGCAUUCAGGAUUGCCACAAAUGUUCAAUUUGUUAAAAACACAGUAUCUGUGAAGCACCAUAAAGCAAAGCACAAUAAAACAAAGUGUGCCUGUAAUUAAAGACCCUAUAUAUUUUGGGAAGUUUUGUGUCUUACACUUAUGUUCAUAUUUAAAGCAAAAUCCUUUCUCAGUGGUGUUUUUGUCAAACAGAUCCCAUUAGACUAUCAUGUUUGUUUUCCUCAAGUUGUUUUUCUAAAGUUUGUUUUUUCCCUCUGAGAAGAUCUUUUCACAAGCAUGGGCACCAAAUAGCUCCUCUUUUCCAUGUGUCUCUUAAAAAUACUUCAUGAGAGAAUUUUCAAACCUAUACUGUGAGUUGACCCCUCUUGGCUCUCACGUUGUCUCUCAUUAUCAGCAUCCAAAUAUUAUGGACCUUCAGGGUAGCUGGAUGAUUCCUCAACUCUGAUAAAACUAUCACGGGAUUUCAUUGUCCAGCUCUGUUGAUCACUGAGCAUGCUUCGUUAAUUAUAAUGUUACAUGAUCCCUACUGGAUUUUCUUGUUUCUUCCUGUAAACAAGACUUAGUCUUCACUAGCUCUUUAAAAGCACUCUUAUCAAGCCAGCUUAUAUUGAGUGUGUUUUGCCACACGUGGCCUUGUCUCUCCACCAAGCUUUCAAUAGACUCUACUGCAGUGAGCUUGCAUUGGAAUCACCUGGAGGCUUGUAGGAACACGGGCUGCAGAGCGUCACCGCCACAGUGUCUGGUUGGUAGGCGGAGAAUGAUGCUGGGCAGAGAAUUUAUAUUUCCUAACAGAUUCUCAGGUGAUGCUGAUACUGCUGAUCGGGGACUUCGAGGCUCUACAAUGUGCCUUGUUCCUCCUACUGUUUGCCAAUUUUCACAGCUACAGCCACUUAACUCACACAGAAUUCUGCCCCACGCACGUACGAAGAAUACAGGCUUUUCAUUGGUUCAGUAUGACUACGUCACUUUACGUCCGAUUUGGCGUGGAUAGCUUAGCUGAACCUUUGGUGAGUUCCAGCUUCCUUAGUUCAUCCCUUUUGGAUUCCUUGCUGGGCACGCUAUUUCCUCUGGGACUAGGACAUUUGGAUUUGCCUUGCUCAGUUCCUUCUGCAGGCUGAAGAUGAGCAGGGAGAAUCAUAUUCUCAUGUAAGUCUAUGGACUUCAGUGAUGCUCCAGAUUCUUUGAAUUUUGACCUGAGUGCUUGGAGGAUUGAGUAGCUUGUGUAGAAACUUGUUCAGGAUCUGAGCAGAAGGAAGCAUGCAUGCUCGAAGCACAAAUAUUUAGCUAGAUUUCUCAUAAUGCCUCCAGGAAAGUCUGAAGCAGACUGGAUGACUGAGACUUCUGGGUUUUGCUUGACAGUGCAAUUCCAGGGGUCACGUGGCAGCUUGUGCUCCAGUAGUCUUGGUAGUGCAGUGCACUGCACCCAGCAGCAGCAGUGAUGCUGGACUCUUGGUAGUUUUCAGGGUCAGUAUACAAUGGAUGACUUAAGGUAUCUUGAUUCAAAUGGACAAAUUUAGAAGAGUUGAUGUAACAGUUUUAAAACAAUAAAUAAAGCAUGACAGAAA